ACCCCCAAAAUAAACCCUGACUUCUUCGCCCGCCCCCAAACCAAACCAAAGCUGCUCUCUCUCUCUCUCUCUACGAUUUGUGCAACCAUGUCAGCCGCCCUCGCCGCCGCCGCCAGGUCCGUCGUCCGGUCCAACUCCGCCCGAUGCGCAGCGACGAGACUCACCGCCGGAGCUAAACCUAAACCCGCACGAUCUCCCUUUCGCAUCCCCACGCAGAAACCACUCCCUUCUCGCAUUUUCAGGUCUCCAGUUGAGAUGAGCUGCGCCGUUGAAUCGUUGCUUCCAUUUCACACCGCCACUGCCUCUGCAUUGCUCACUUCGAUGCUCUCCGUCUCUCCUCGGAGCUAUGGUUGGACUCUUGAAGAUACAUGACGCACAUGAACGCACAAGCGGUGCAGCUAAGAGGAUAAUUGACUUGUUGAAAUUUAGUCGAGAAAAAAAAAAGAAGAUCCAACCUUGCUUCUAUUUCAUCUAAUGAAGGACUGUGAUUUCCACUCAUUGGCUGACUCCGGCUUGGGAAUUGCCAUUUUGCCUCCAUUUUUGUUUCCUUUGCUGUAGAAGUUUGUGUUUUGGAUCAUACUGAUACUCAACUAGCAGCUGAAUACCGACUUUAUAUUUUUAUUCUGUUAACUGUGUCUCUUUUAACUUUUGGUUGUGGCUUUUGGGUAAAUUAGUUGCUCAUGUCUAAUACCCUCCAUAAGUAUAUUUUUUGUUCCUUUAUUGUAGAUGGAUGAUUGUUAGAUUGUUGGCAUGUGGUGCAUCUGGCCGUAGUUUCCAUGGAUUUAUGUGGACAUUGUAAGGGCUACUCUGCUUGAGGAUUAUUCUGUUCGAAUGAAUGUGAAAUCCAACUUAAGCUAUUCUGCCAUCAUCCAAGAGUAGGUAUCAUAGUGCAAAUGGAUCGUAUAUUUUUCGCCCUAAAAAUAAGAUGCUGCUAAUCAUGCUGCGUUCACUCUUCAAUGCAAGUUUAUAAUGAUUCUUUUACUCUUCAUAGAACCGUAGCAGUUCUCUCUUUCAUUUCUUUUCUUUAUUCUGGGUCUAGAGGUGCUCUUUUAGAUUAAUUUUACUUGUUUUAAGUUGUCUUUUGGGGUGUGAACUUGUGAGGUUGGACCUGGUCUAUAAAUAGCAGGUACAAUCUCCUUAAGAAGUGGGGAGGUGGUUAGUUGAUAUUUGGUUGAUGGAUGUUCAGAUUUUGUUGUGUGGUUAUCAUGCAAAUCCAACUCCUUAGGAUUAUGCUAUUAGGCAAGGCAAUGACAUGAUGAUAUGAAUCCAACUUGUGCGUGCACACAUGUGCACACAUAUACAAAAAAGAAUUUGGUUUACAUUGUCUAAUAUACACCAAUAUUUACGUCUGCAAAAGCAUAGGUAACCCAGGAUGUGUCAAAAUGCAUGAAGGUUUUGUAGCAUCGUGUAGGGUUCUUGAAUAAAUUUAUGGCCCUAAGUUGCUAAUCCGUUCCCCACAUGAAUCUAUCUUUAGGUGACAUUCUCUUUUAUGCUGGGAUCCUCUUGGCCCUCACUACUUACCAUAUUCGUGUGAUUUAACUAUCUCAAGAUAUGUUCACCACCAUCCUCAGAGUGACGGAUUUCUUAACUUCUUGGUAUAAUUUUGGGUUUUUUUGUUCGACUCUAGUAUUGCAACCUGCAUUUCCAUCUACUGCCUUCAUUAUGUGGGAAAAUUUGAAAGUUAGUGAGUUUCCAGUUGAAUAUUUAUUCUGUGCUGGAAAGAAAGACGUGGUUCAAAACCUCAUUUAUGUAUCUUGAAUCUCUUCAAUCUAAAUGAGAAAUCAAUACUAGAGUGGCUCUUCCUAAGUGGACA